GACGAACGCUGGCGGCGUGCUUAACACAUGCAAGUCGAGCGGUAAGGCCCUUUCGGGGGUACACGAGCGGCGAACGGGUGAGUAACACGUGGGUGACCUGCCCUCCAGCUCUGGGAUAAGCCCGGGAAACUGGGUCUAAUACUGGAUAUGACUCCAUGACGCAUGUUGUGGGGUGGAAAGCCUUGUGCGGCUGAGGAUGGGCCCGCGGCCUAUCAGCUUGUUGGUGGGGGAUGGCCUACCAAGGCGACGACGGGUAGCCGGCCUGAGAGGCGACCGGCCACACUGGGACUGAGACACGGCCCAGACUCCUACGGGAGGCGGCAGUGGGGAAUCUUGCGCAAUGGGCGAAAGCCUGACGCAGCGACGCCGCGU
rnacentral:rRNA from 1 species